rnacentral:sRNA from 1 species
CGCUUAUGGGGAAAGUGAGCUACUUGCGUUUCCAAAGACUGCCGAGCCGAAUUAGUCCCAUUUAUUUUUUGAAGGUUAUGAUCCCCCACUUUGCUUUCUGAAGGUCGUGACCCCCUUUUACUUUCUGAACGUGAUGACCCCUUUCCCAGCUCGCCCUCAACAUUCUGCUUGGGAAAAAAGGACGUCCAUUGGAAACGCCGGACUUGGGAGAGAGGAUCAGGCUACCAGUUGGAUGUUUAUGGCUGACUGAGACAUUGCCCAGAGAAAGGGUGAAUGCCUCUCGAGAAGUGGAGCCAGUAGAACCUGAAAACUGCCACCUUAUUGAGGAACUUGAAAGUGGCUCUGAAGAUAUUGAUAUACUUCCUAGUGGGCUGGCUUUUAUCUCCAGUCUGCAGGUCUGUUGGAGUUUGCUGGAAGUCCACUCCAGACCCUGUUUGCCUGGGUAUCACCAGUGGAGGCUGCAGAACGGCAAAUAUUGCUGCCUGAUUUUUCUUCUGGAAGCUUCAUCCCAGAGGGGCAUCCACCUGUAUGAG